rnacentral:misc_RNA from 1 species
AAGUCGUAACAAGGUUUCCGUAGGCGAACCUGCGGAAGGAUCAUUACAAAUAAAGCUGGUAGGAAGUGGGGUCUUGAUCUGUAAGUGGUAGAGCGAACAGUCCGGCUGCCUCCCGAAAUGUCUUACAUGUCCCCCACAGCCUGAAGGCCGAAUUACAACCCUUGAUUAUCUACACUUGUUGCUUUGUGUGCUUUAUAAACUCAUAAUCAAGUUCAGAAUGUCUAUUGUGUAUCCACACAUUUAAAUACAA